UAAAUACAUCUGGGGUGCCUAUCGGGCUGAGAAUAUACCCAUUGAACCUGUUUGAUUAAUAUCAGCGUAGGGAAAAUGACUAUUUUUAGAC
rfam:Lactobacillus johnsonii NCC 533, complete genome.